UGACGAUGAAGAAGCCAACUGGACUAACGGUGAUGAUUACAACGAAAAUGCCGAGUGGAGAGACAAAGAAGGAGGUGACUCUAUCGAUGGUGAAGGUGAUCCGGAUGACGACGAAGACGCAGAGUGGAGAGACGGUGAUUAUGAUCACUCUAUCGAUAGUGAGGGUGAGCCCAAUGACGAUGAAGAUGCCAAGUGGAGCGACGGUGAUGACUUAAUCAACAGUGAAGGUGAGCCGGAUGUCGAUGAAGAUGCUGAGUUAAGUGGCGGUGAUCGUGAUGAGUCUAGCGAUGCUGAUGGUGAACUCGAUAGAACUGAAGACUCAACUGAAAACAAUGAUGAUCCUGAUGAUUACUUCGGUAUUGAGGACGAGCACAGUGAUUAUUCUAAUGGU